AUUGAACGCUGGCGGAAUGCUUUACACAUGCAAGUCGAACGGCAGCACGGGGGCAACCCUGGUAGCGAGUGGCGAACGGGUGAGUAAUACAUCGGAACGUGCCCAGUCGUGGGGGAUAACGUAGCGAAAGUUACGCUAAUACCGCAUACGAUCUACGGAUGAAAGCGGGGGACCGUAAGGCCUCGCGCGCUUGGAGCGGCCGAUGUCAGAUUAGGUAGUUGGGGAGGUAAAGGCUCACCAAGCCGACGAUCUGUAGCUGGUCUGAGAGGACGACCAGCCACACUGGGACUGAGACACGGCCCAGACUCCUACGGGAGGCAGCAGUGGGGAAUUUUGGACAAUGGGCGCAAGCCUGAUCCAGCCAUUCCGCGUGCAGGACGAAGGCCUUCGGGUUGUAAACUGCUUUUGUACGGAACGAAAAGGCUCUGGUUAAUACCUGGGGCUCAUGACGGUACCGUAAGAAUAAGCACCGGCUAACUACGUGCCAGCCGCCGCCGUAA
rnacentral:rRNA from 1 species